GUACCUGUCGCGCAAUAGAUACCGCAUUGGACUUCUAAUCCAAAGAUUGUGGGUUCGAAUUCCGUCUGGGAUG